AAGAAAGCUGGUGGGGUGGCUACUGCUUUCUAGAUUACUCAGUGUGUGACUGGAAACACACUGGUCGCUUUGCACGGUCACAGCCGGCACAGCCUGUAGUCACAGAAUGUUCUGGGCUCACCCUCUUCUCUGGCCUGGGGAAGUGAGGCUCAGCGUAGAGGCUGUACCCACAGGCACAUGACGGUCUGCACCCAGGCCAGGGCUCAGUGAGGAGCCGGAGUGUCCCGGCCUGCCUGGACUCCAGCCGGGACCUCCCACAUGAGGCUCAUUCAUCUAUGCCCAGGAUUCUCAAAGAACCCCGGCCCCAGCCUGCUCUCUGUCAUGUGCUGAGCCCCAAGCUUACCCAUGCCUCCUGCCGUGGGGACCAGAGAAUGAGAAGACCACCAGGGAGACCCGCCCUGGAGACCAUGGUGUGCUGCUGACUCACGAGAAUGACAUCACCAAGUGUGCCCUCUGUCCUGUCACUUGGAGCUCCUGGAAGCACAGAAUGUCCCUCAGCCUGGACACUGCCCCUGGCCUGGGGAGGUAGAUGCUCCCCACCUCCCCUCCUGCCCUAGUGCAGAGGAAAGAAGAUCAAAUCUGGAGUCAGCAGACAUAGGAGUCUAAUCCCUGGUUCUGAUAUAUCUAGGCAGUCAUUGCCUUAGCCACACUCAGCCUUAAUCUCCUGAUCUGCAAAAUGGGGAGAACCACACUAACUUUGCAGUUUGCGGUGAGAGUCAAGGAAACCCACGUGAGAAGUGUCUGGCACUGUGCCUCGCAUGUACUGUGUUUGUCGGCCCCUCGGGCCUCAUGUUGUUGCUCUGGCACCCCAGGGGCUCAGGUGGAGCCACGGCCAGGACAGGCCUCACCAUUGGCAAGGGCACUCAAGCUCCCAGGUGGACUCCCAACCUAUCCAGGCACUACAGCCAAGGGUAAGAGCCCUGGACUGGGGCCGACCUGCUUCCAAUGACCCACCGUCCAACCUCGCCUUACCUUAUCCGUAGGAGCCAUUUGACAAGCUCUUGUUGAACAAAUGCUACACAUGAACACAUGGGCUGUGUCCUGAAGGUGAGUAAUGGCUUCCUAGGGGCGUGGGAGAGUGGAUGUAUGCAGUGGGAGGUUGGGCUAGGCAGUUGUGGGCAAGAAAGGUGCCCUCUAGCACCCUGGACACAAGAGCAGGCUGCAAACAAUUGGUAGAAAUGGUAGCAGGAGGAGAAGUCCCUGGCUGGAUGUGCAGUCUUGAAGGAAUCCUACGCUUCAUGAAUGAGGAUUUGACAUCUGGCAGAGGUCUUUAUGAACACAUUUAUGAUCAUCCUUCAAAGCAACCACAUGAAAUGGGCCAGGGGCUUGUUCUCUUUUAGCAGACAGACGGGUUGAGUCACCACAAGAUGCUGUUAUGGUUUAAAUGUGUGGAGCUAUAUAUAUACAUACACACAUACACAUGUAUAUAUCAAUCAAGCUAUACUUAUCCCCAAUAACAGAGAGGAAAAAUAUAUUAUUAGAAUAAGAGCCGCAUAUUUUGGAAAACUUACCAUGUGCCAGAGACUGUUCUAAUUAUUUUAUAAACAUGUCUCUUGUGGUUUUCAAGAUAACUAUAGAAGGUAACUAUUAUUACUUUUUAACAAAUGAAAGCAAACCUCAGGUUAAGUGACUGGCCCAAGGUCACACAGCAAGCAGUGACAGAGCUAAGUUGCGCUGGCUCUAAAGACCAUGUGUUAUCAACAGCGUCCUCCUGCCUUCUUAUGAAAUGGAAUCCAUAUCAAACUGCUAAGCUUUGUUUUUAGCAAAUAACAUGACUGUCUGGGCUGUGGGCUUAAGGAACAGUGAGUUUGGGGGCAAAGGUCACCCUCUAAUAGUGCUUCAUAAUAUUUCUCCCAGAGAAAGACUCUGGAGCCAGGCAGAUCUGGAUCCAGAUUCCAGUUCUGCCACUUCCUAGCUGUGUCCUCUCACUGAGCUCUCAGAGGCCUCCUUGGCCCGCAUGCUCAGUGGAGUGUCUGGUUGGCCCCGCAGCCCUUGUGUCCAGAUCUGCUGGGCGACACAGUGCCUGGCUGUGCCCUGCAGAGGCUUUCCUGUCCCUGGCUCCCAUGCUUCCCCUGAGGAGAGCAGGCGAUGGGUGUCAGCUUAUGUGAGCCCUUUGGUUGCAUGGAUCGGGUGAAAAACAGACAGAGCUGAAGAAUUUGAACUGAGAUGUCAAUUGUGGAGCAGGAUUACUCAUAGCAGCCACCGCCCACUAGGCCAGAACACCUUCGUUUAAACAAACCAACAUCCCAGGGGACAGUGCCUGUUGAGCAAGCUGCUGAGAGCCCUUCACUAGUGCUGAGUCCUCAGGCCUGCAGGGGACACUCCACAUCUGACCCUGCAGGAGAGCGGUGUCCAGGAGCAGGCACCUCAGAUCCAUCCAAGUCACACAGGGAGGCCAGAAGGGCAGCGGGGACACUGAACGCUCUACACGUCCUGAGGUCCCUGACCUCAUAGGCUGGAGGGGAGCAUUUGCUUUGUCUUGUGGAAAGUCCCCAAGUGGAUGGGCUAACAAUCGAUUCCAGUUGCACCCACGCUGCUAACUCUGGCCAUGUUUCCUAUACUUCCGUUCCUGUGAUCCAUCUCUUGCCCCUUCCAGAUCAGACAGUGACCUCCCGGGCCUCCUGGGGAUGCAGUUGUCCUCCCUGCACUCAGAUCUGGAGCUGCUGCUUCCUAGCGGAGGAGUCAGCCUACCGAGCCAGGCCGUUGUCAAGCCCUGAGCCCUCCCCACUUCCGCCUCUGCCCGCUUUCCUGUCCCAGCUGUGAGCCUCUCCGGGGACUCAUUUAAACUGAAGACAAUUGCCUCAGAUAAAGAACAACUGGCCUCCUCCCUAUGUGGCUAAAAUUAUCAAAAACCGAAGAGGGCGUUGCUGACCUCAGCCUUCCCCAGCCUUUCUCCUGCCUUGGUCCACUUGAAUAUCCCUCUGGGAGCCUGUGACAGCUGCCUACGUGGGACCCCACACAGAAACGGGGCUGAAGAAGGCAGUCCCAGCCUCGCAAGGCAUUCAGUUCCUGCAGUGUCUGCAGCCAAAUCCCAAGAUAGAGCCAGUCUGCUUGGUUCCCUGGCCCCAGGUUUCUCAGAGCUCCUCCGGCAGCCCAGGAGGCUGAGCUGCACUGCCUGCAUUUCCUGGCUUCACAUCACGUACACAUAGAGCUUGGGGCCCGGGCAACCAUGGCAUGGAAGCCCAGACCACCUAAAUUCUUCCUUAGGACCACCAGUGCCAUUGCCUCAGCCAUAACCCCCUGAGACUCCUCGCGGACCAGCAUGGCGACUGGUCCCACAACCAUCUCCAUGCCUGCUUCCUCUUCCCCAUUCAAGCUUCUCAACAUCUGUCAUUCUUGGUGUUAGCUAUAUCCCAGCUCCUGUAUUAUUCCAUUGCAUCCAGAAUGCUUUGAGGAAGGAAUGUCAUAGACCCCCUUUUUUAACCCCCUCUUCCCAGAGAGAUGUGCUCAGGAAUAGGUGCCCAACAGGAAGUAUUUGAUUGAGAGCUUAUUUGUCCCUCCAGGAGAUAUUCAAGGAGAGCCCCCAUCCAGACCCCAAGCGAGAAGAGCUACCGUGUCUCACAGGGCCCACAGCCCAUCACCCACAUCAUCCCACGGAGGGCGGGGAUUAUGCCCAGUGUGCAGAAGGGUUGACAAAGGCCAGGUAGGGGAAGUGGCUGGCUCUGCUUACAUGGACCCAAGACUCACUCCAGAACCCCUGACCUUCCGCUGAAGGAUCUUUGCACCAACUCUCCUGGCCCCAGUGGGUCUGGCUCACCAGAAGUUAGGCCUGGAAGGGAGGAGGCUGGGUGGGGGGACAUAGAAGGCAAAAGCAGCAGUGUCCUCACAUGGAACUGUUCCUCCAGGUCCUUUCCCUGGGACCCCUCCCUGGAGAGCUCUCCCUGCUCUCUCUGGCUUCCUUUCCCUUCUGUCAACCCUAAUAGCAUAGGUUUUGGUGUCAGGCAGUCCUGCGUUGGAAUCUCAGAUUCCCAGGGACAGUCAUGAUUUAUACGUGUUGUCCCGGUAUACUAAUACAUCAAGGCUCCUUGUCACCCUCAAACAUGCGCAUUAGGACCAUGCAUCAUGUGUCCCGCUUACAAAGACAGAAGGCAAGGUCUGUGGACAGCUGGAGGAUGACCUAGUUAGGGAGCCUCUAGGAACCCAUCUAGUUCUGCGAUGGAGGGGAACAGAGAAUGGGGUGUUUCCCUGAUGACCCUGCUGUGGAGGAGCUGGCUGCUUCUGCAGGGAGAUGCUGCAGCCCCAGAAGGAAGCCCUGGCCAUGUGUCUCAAGUUGCUUUGCAAAACAAGCACCAGGAAAGAAAAACAGCAUCUAUAUUUCCCUGAGGUGGGCCAGCAUCCAGAGGCUGAAGGCACCUGGGGAUAGGGACACUACAUCACACACUUCAGGGGGUGCCAGUCAUGUCACGGUCUGUGUGAACGGUGCCUCCUGGGAAUGUACAGCUCCCAGCCUGCUCACUGCAAAGCAGGAAUUGGUGAGCUGUGACUAGAUGAUGUCAGAGAGCAAGAAUAAGUAAGGACCAGGAAAGCUACAAAAUAUAGAAGACUACAUCUUUUUUAAAUUAAUUAAUUAGUUAAUUUAUUUAUUUAUUUAUUAUGUUUUGAGACAGAGCCUUGCUCUGUUGCUCAGGCUGGAGUGCAGUGGUAUGAUCUCUGCUCACUGCAACCUCCAUCUACCAGGUUCAAGCAACUCUCCUGCCUCAGCCUCCUGAGUAGCUGGGAUUACAGGCGCUCAUCACCAUGCCCAGCUAAUUUUUGUAUUUUUAGUAGAGACAGGGUUUCACCAUGUUUGCCAGGCUGGUCUCAAACUCCUGACCUUGUGAUCCAUCUGCCUCAGCCUCCCAAAGUGCUGGGAUUACAGGCAUGAGCCACCAUGCCCAGCCGAAAGCCUACAUCUUUAAGGAGAGGAAUCAUUCUGUCUGGGGAGGAACUCCUUUAAAUCAGUUCAACUCAACUCAUAUGAACAAAUAUUGAUCAUGCAAUUACUGUGCGCUCUGCUGGGCAAGGCCAUUAUGGUGGGGGUGGCGGUGGGGUGAUCAGGCAUCCUGAUCAGGCAGGGGUGAUCAGGCAGGCGGUGGGGUGAUCAGGCAUUGAGAAGCUCAUAGGACAGGAGGGGAGUGCGCAGGGUCUGUCCCUUCCUCUCCCCAGGCAGA
rnacentral:lncRNA from 10 species